rnacentral:rRNA from 1 species
AUAUAUGACAAUGUGGGCAACCCUAAUCCAGCCAUGCCGCGUCUUAGCAGAAGGUCUUAUGAUCGUAAAUAUCUGUACGAUGGGAGGACGGGCAUUAGGUUAGUAUCAUCAAGUUCUGACGUUACCAACAGAAAAAGCACAGGCUAACUCUAUGCAAGCAGCCACGGUAAUACAGAGGGAGCAAGCGUUAAUCGGAAUUACUGGGCGUAAAGCGCGCGUAGGUGGUUCAGUAAGAUGGGUGUGAAAUCCCCGGGCUUAACCUGGGAACUGCUUUCAUAACUGCUGAGCUAGAGUACGGUAGAGGGUAGUGGAAUUUCCUGUGUAGCGGUGAAAUGCGUAGAUAUAGGAAGGAACACCAGUGGCGAGGGCGACUACCUGGACUGAUACUGACACUGAGGUGCGAAAGCGUGGGGAGCAAAC